rnacentral:tRNA from 1 species
GGGGGUGUACCUAAGCGGCCAAAAGGGCCAGACUGUAAAUCUGGUGGCUCAGCCUUCACAGGUUCGAAUCCUGUCGCCCCCA